CGGCGUUGAGACGUCUUGCCGGGCGGACGUUUUGUACCGUGUGAUAGCCGUAGUGACUACGUUUACGUGACAAAAGUGUUAAAGUAUUUACGAGUGAAGUGAUUUAGUGUUUGUGAUUUUAAAAAGGAUUUUUGUUCGAAAGGUGUUACAUAAGAUACGGGAGAGUUGUUUUCUUCAAGCAAGUCGAUCAAGGUACGCUACGAGUACAUAAUCCAUACAAAAAACAAAAUUACUAAUUGAGUU